rnacentral:misc_RNA from 1 species
UGAAUGCUCUUCUCCAUUUAUCAAUCAUCUUCUUUGUUUAUAGCAUCUUUAAUCAUAGUUUAGGCAAUCACAUUAACCCCACCGACCCUAAGCGCUUCCAAACUUCUACAAGGUUCGCAUUAGGCUUUUCGUCUUUUACCUCAAACAAUUUUAAUCCUCCAUAAACAACUGGCACUCAUUGUGUUUUCUGGGCUGGGGUAGUAAGAUCUCCAAUGUUAUCUAAGUUGCUACCACUUUGCCCAAAUG